UACGAAGGGAGCAAGCGUUUAUCGGAAUUACUGGGCGUAAAGGGUGCGUAGGCGGUUCGUUAAGGCUGUUGUGAAAUCCCCGGGCUCAACCUGGGAAUGGCAAUGGAUACUGGCGGGCUAGAGUGUGUCAGAGGAUGGUGGAAUUCCCGGUGUAGCGGUGAAAUGCGUAGAGAUCGGGAGGAACAUCAGUGGCGAAGGCGGCCAUCUGGGACAACACUGACGCUGAAGCACGAAAGCGUGGGGAGCAAACAGG
rnacentral:rRNA from 1 species